GACGAACGCUGGCGGCGUGCUUAACACAUGCAAGUCGAACGGAAAGGCCCUGCAUUUGUGGGGUGCUCGAGUGGCGAACGGGUGAGUAACAAGUGAGUAACCUGCCCUUGACUUUGGGAUAACUUCAGGAAACUGGGGCUAAUACCGGAUAGGAGCUCCUGCUGCAUGGUGGGGGUUGGAAAGUUUCGGCGGUUGGGGAUGGACUCGUGGCUUAUCAGCUUGUUGGUGGGGUAGUGGCUUACCAAGGCGUUGACGGGUAGCCGGCCUGAGAGGGUGACCGGCCACAUUGGGAUUGAGAUACGGGCAAGACUCAUUCGGGAGGAAGCGAUGAGGAACAUUGGAAACUGGGCGGAGGCCGGAAUCAGCAACUCCGCGUUCGAGAGGACUGCCUUCGGGUUGGAAACCGCUUUCGCCUGUGACGAAGAGUGAGUGACGGUAAUGGGUAAAGAAGCACCGGCUAACUACGUG
rnacentral:rRNA from 1 species